rnacentral:tRNA from 1 species
GUGAAUAUAGUUUAACAAAAACAUUAGAUUGUGGUUCUAAAAAUAGAGGUUAAACCCCACUUAUUCUCC